UACGUAGGGUGCGAGCGUUGUCCGGAAUUAUUGGGCGUAAAGAGCUUGUAGGCGGUUUGUCGCGUCUGCUGUGAAAAUCCGGGGCUCAACCCCGGACUUGCAGUGGGUACGGGCAGACUGGAGUGUGGUAGGGGAGACUGGAAUUCCUGGUGUAGCGGUGGAAUGCGCAGAUAUCAGGAGGAACACCGAUGGCGAAGGCAGGUCUCUGGGCCGAUACUGGCGCUGAGGAGCGAAAGCGUGGGGAGCGAACAGG
rnacentral:rRNA from 1 species